rnacentral:pre_miRNA from 1 species
UCGUUCUUCUCGUCCCCGUCUUCUUCAGAUGAGCUGGAGUCUGAAGAAGACGACGACGAGGAGCAUGAGG